UUGUUUAUUUAUUAUGUCUCCCCCACCUCGGGGGGAGACAUAUUGUUUUUGCCCUGUCCGUCCGUCAGUCCGUCCGUCCGUCCGUCCGUCAGUCCGUCCGUCCGUCCAUUCUUCGUUUCCGGACGAUAACUAGAGUUCCUUUUGACCUACAGCUCUCAAACUUCAUAGGAUGAAUGGUCUUAUUGAGCAGAUGAUCCCUAUUGUUUUUGGGGUCAGUAGGUCAAAGGUCAAGGUCACAGUGACCGUUGGUCAAUUUCUCGUUUCCGGACGAUAACUAGAGUUCCUUUUGACCUACAGCUCUCAAACUUCAUAGGAUGAAUGGUCUUAUUGAGCAGAUGAUCCCUAUUGUUUUUGGGGUCAGUAGGUCAAAGGUCAAGGUCACAGUGACCGUUGGUCAAUUUCUCGUUUCCGGACUAUAACUAGAGUUCCUUUUGACCUACAGCUCUCAAACUUCAUAGGAUGAAUGGUCUUAUUGAGCAGAUGAUCCCUAUUGUUUUUGGGGUCAGUAGGUCAAAGGUCAAGGUCACAGUGACCGUUGGUCAAUUUCUCGUUUCCGGACGAUAACUAGAGUUCCUUUUGACCUACAGCUCUCAAACUUCAUAGGAUGAAUGGUCUUAUUGAGCAGAUGAUCCCUAUUGUUUUUGGGGUCAGUAGUUCAAAGGUCAAGGUCACAGUGACCGUUGGUCAAUUUCUCGUUUCCGGAUGAUAACUAGAGUUCCUUUUGACCUACAGCCCUCAAACUUCAUAGGAUGAUUGGUCUUAUAGAGCAGAUGAUCCCUAUUGUUUUUGGGGUCAGUAGGUCAAAGGUCAAGGUCACACUGACCGUUGGUCAAUUUCUCGUUUCCGGAUGAUAACUAGAGUUCCUUUAGACCUACAGACCUCAAACUUCAUAGGAUGAUUGGUCUUAUUGAGCAGAUGAUCCCUAUUGUUUUUGGGGUCAGUAGUUCAAAGGUCAAGGUCACAGUGACCGUUGGUCAAUUUUCUCGUUUCCGGAUGAUAACUAGAGUUCCUUUAGACCUACAGACCUCAAACUUCAUAGGAUGAUUGGUCUUAUUGAGCAGAUGAUCCCUAUUGUUUUUGGGGUCAGUAGUUCAAAGGUCAAGGUCACAGUGACCGUUGGUCAAUUUCUCGUUUCCGGAUGAUAACUAGAGUUCCUUUAGACCUACAGACCUCAAACUUCAUAGGAUGAUUGGUCUUAUUGAGCAGAUGAUCCCUAUUGUUUUUGGGGUCAGUAGUUCAAAGGUCAAGGUCACAGUGACCGUUGGUCAAUUUCUCGUUUCCGGAUGAUAACUAGAGUUCCUUUUGACCUACAGCCCUCAAACUUCAUAGGAUGAUUGGUCUUAUAGAGCAGAUGAUCCCUAUUGUUUUUGGGGUCAGUAGGUCAAAGGUCAAGGUCACAGUGACCGUUGGUCAAUUUCUCAUUUCCGGAUGAUAACUAGAGUUCCUUUUGACCUACAACCCUCAAACUUCAUAGGAUGAUUGGUCUUAUUAAUCAAAUGAUCCCUAUUGUUUUAAUGGUCAGUAGGUCAAAGGUCAAGGUCACAGCGACUGUUGGUUAAUUUCUCCUUUCCGGAUGAUAACUAGAGUUCCUUUAGACCUACAACCCUCAAACUUCAUAGGAUGAUUGGUCUUAUUGAGCAGAUGAUCCCUCUUGUUUAUGGGGUCAGUAGGUCAAAGGUUAAGGUCACAGUGACCAUUGGUCAUUUUCUCAUUUCCGGAUGAUAACUAGAGUUCUUAUCAGUGAGGACAUUUAACUAUUAUUGAUAUAUCAGUGAUAUAUCAGUUGUCUGGUUUUAUAUACUCUGUUCUUUUAUCUCCAUUUCCAUUCCUGUUUCCAUUCACAGUUAUUCUCAGCAGUGGGGGAGACAUGCGCUUUUU